rnacentral:rRNA from 1 species
UAGGGAAUAUUGCACAAUGGAGGAAACUCUGAUGCAGCGACGCCGCGUGAGUGACGAAGGCCUUCGGGUUGUAAAGCUCUGUUCUCAGGGAAAAAGCAAGUGAUUGUACCUGAGGAGAAAGGACCGGCUAACUUCGUGCCAGCAGCCGCGGUAAGACGAGGGGUCCAAGCGUUGUUCGGAAUCAUUGGGCGUAAAGCGGGUGUAGGUGGCUCUAUAAGUCAGAAGUGAAAGCCCCGAGCUUAACUCGGGAAGUGCUUUUGAUACUGCAGAGCUUGAAUGUGGGAGAGGGUAGUGGAAUUCCAGGUGUAGUGGUGAAAUACGUAGAUAUCUGGAGGAACACCGGUGGCGAAGGCGGCUACCUGGCCCAACAUUGACACUGAGACCCGAAAGCGUGGGGAUCAAACAGGAUUAGAUACCCCCGUAGUCC